AUUGAACGCUGGCGGCAUGCCUAAUACAUGCAAGUCGAGCGGAGCGGCGGACGGGGGAGUAAUGCCUAGGAAUCUGCCCGGUGGUAGGGUACAACGCCGGGAAAGGGGCGCUAAUACCGCAUACUUGCAGAGGAGCUUCGGUUGGAUUAGCUAGUUGGAGGGGCAAAGGCCUACCAAGGCGACGAUCCGUAACUGGUCCGAGAGGAUGAUCAGUCACACUGGAACUGAGACACGGUCCAGACUCCUACGGGAGGCAGCAGUGGGGAAUAUUGGACAAUGGGCGAAAGCCUGAUCCAGCCAUGCCGCGUGUGUGAAGAAGGUCUUCGGAUUGUAAAGCACUUUAGGUAGGGAGGCGUUACCAACAGAGAAAGCACCGGCUAACUACGUGCCAGCAGCCGCGGUAAUAC
rnacentral:rRNA from 1 species